rnacentral:lncRNA from 1 species
CGGGUCGUAGGAUCGUACGAUCCUACGUGCUCAUGAAGGCUAAACGAGCUAAGAACCCAUGGAGGUUCGUUUUUGGGGCUUUUUGAAGUCAGGUUCGCGCAUUUUGUUGGUGGUGCGUAAAGCAAAGGCAGGUUCGUAAAAAAAAACAAGUUGGGUUUAAAACUGAUUGGGCCUUGCAGUCAAACCGGGUCGGGUCAAGACAUAAAAAUACAAAACACGCUUAUUUUUCUCAUAAACCCUAAGAAAAAAUUACGCGAUUCUUCUCUGAAGAAAGAAACAUCGUCAUGUUUCUUCUCACUUCUUCAAUCGCGAUUCAGCCAUGCUUCUUCAUACAUCUCCUUCCUUUCCUUCACUUUCGUUUCAUCUGUUUCAAACCUAACAUCUCCUUCCUUUCCUUCAN